rnacentral:tRNA from 1 species
GUCUUGAUAGUUUAUAAAGAACAUAGCGUUGAAGGUGUUAAAGAAGCUUUUAGUUUUAAGACA